GACGGAGGAUGCAAGUGUUAUCCGGAAUCACUGGGCGUAAAGCGUCUGUAGGUGGUUUAAAAAGUCUACUGUUAAAAAUUGAAGCUUAACUUCAAAGAUGCCGUAGAAACUUUUAAACUUGAGGAUGGUAGGGGUAGAGGGAAUUUCCAGUGGAGCGGUGAAAUGCGUAGAUCUUGGAAAGACCACCAAUGGCGAAGGCACUCUACUGGGCCAUUACUGACACUAAGAGACGAAAGCGUGGGGAGCAAACAGG
rnacentral:rRNA from 1 species